rnacentral:sRNA from 1 species
CCAGCUGGUUCAGGCCACGUGCUGAGCACCUGUGCUAACCCUGUUACCUCUGUUCUUCUGGCAGGGACUGGUGGUGGCCGUCCUCUACUGCUUCCUCAACGGGGAGGUGCAGCUGGAGGUUCAGAAGAAGUGGCAGCAAUGGCACCUCCGUGAGUUCCCACUGCACCCUGUGGCCUCCUUCAGCAACAGCACCAAGGCCAGCCACUUGGAGCAGAGCCAGGGCACCUGCAGGACCAGCAUCAUCUGAGAGGCUGGAGCAGGAUCACCCACGGACAGGGACCAAGAGAGGUCCUGAGAAGGCUGGGCAAUGCUGCGGGACAGCCAGUCUUCCCAGCAGACACCCUAUGCCCUCCUUCAGCUGAAAAUGCCCCUCCCCAGGCCUUGGACUCUUCCGAAGGGAUGUGGGGCACUGUGGGGCAGGACAAGGGCCUGGGAUUUGGUUUGUUUGCUCUUCUGGGAAGAGAAGUUCAGGGGUCCCAGAAAGGGACAGGGAAAUAAAUGGUGCCUGGGAUGAGAUUC